rnacentral:lncRNA from 1 species
UUUUGGAAUUUCGAAGCAAAGGUAAGAAAUCUAUGAUUAAUUUGCCAUGAAAGCAUGUAUAGGUAAAAAUAUAUAGACAGGCACAUAACAAGGGUCAAUACUGACAUGGUUUAGCAUUACUGUUUCAUGCAAAACGUCCUAACUUUACAAACACUCUCAAAAACCGUGAGCGGAUCAUGUACCGUCUGCAAAGUGUAAACACAACAUUGACCUUUGUAGAACGUUCUUUCUUUUCUUGCGUUAUAGAAAGAUAAAUGAUAACAUAGAGUAACACGAGGCGAGAAAAUAUACACCAACUUCCAGAAUAAUCGUUUACGGUAAUAUUUCAUGGCAUUUAUUAACUUUUGAAAAGCAAACGUGAAAAAUCGCCGGCCUCCGGUUCCUCUACAUCUGUAUCUGUAUUUGUAUGUGUAGAAUCAGUUUUGACAUUCAACCGAUUUAAACAAAUAUAAUAGUUUGCAAAAGAAGAGGUUUCAAUCAUAAAUACUGCAAGUAAACACAUCGAAAUAAUUGGGUAUCUGAACAACUAUGCAUCUGAUAUUUUGAUUUUUUUAAAGAUAUAAAUGUGCAAAAGGCUAGCAUAGAAUCUCAUAUAUAUGAAAACAUUUUGAUUUAGACAUGUAACCAAUUGCACAUUUAACUGAAAUGGCGAUUAGACAACUAUUUUUUUUUUUUAAAUGAAAUAUGCUAACGGUCACACUUUGAACGAAAUAUGCUAACGGGCACACCCUUGAAAAAAUAUGCUAACGGUCACAUUGGAUUUACAUCAUCUAUCUUUCAGAUGUGGAAAAGCACGAUUGGAGAAACAAAGGUCAACAAGACGACGACGAAAAUUGACAGACAAAAAGAAAGGCCUCGAAAAAAAAACCAUAUAAUUGCGAAAAGCACCCACACAGUGGAAAAAGACAGAGAAAUCGGGUCUACGCCAAAAAUCAAAACGUUCAAUCCAUCAUCGCGAUCAACUCCAACCA